rnacentral:lncRNA from 1 species
UAGGGUUAUGUGUUAUGUGUUUAGGUUAUUCUGUGUAUUUAAAUAUAACAGUAUUAUACUGUGAUGAUAUUAUUCUAAUAUUGGAGAUCUAUAUUAUUAAUAUUAGGUCUUCGGGUAAAGCGAUAUAAAUUGCGUUGCGGUAAUCAACGGUUCAGGCAAGUUUGUUCUUACUUAACUCUAAUAAGAGUGUUUUAUUCAAGCUUAUGGUUAAAUCAUUGCAGAUUGCCAUGAAAAUUGUACUCUGUACAUCUUGCAUGUAUAAGUCAGGUAUGAAAGGCUGAUCACCUUCAUUACCAGUUGGUUCAGAAAUGUUUGUUCAUGUUUAAAACUUGUUCAGUCAAAAAUUUGUUCGUGCUAGUUCUCAAUUAUAUUGAUGAAUUAUAGCAAGCCCAUUAUUCAUACUCUUCAAUCAUGAUAUAUCCUUAUAUUGUUGUAUUUAAACUUGCUGGGCAACUUUCAUGCUCACCCUUGCUAUAUCAUGAUAAAACAUUGCAGAUAAGACGAAAGCGUUCGGAUACAGGAAACGAUUAAAGCCAAGUUCAGCUUGGGUUAUAAAGUGCAG